rnacentral:rRNA from 1 species
UGACCUCGAAUCAGGUAGGGAUACCCGCUGAACUUAAGCAUAUCAAUAAGCGGAGGAAAAGAAACCAACAGGGAUUGCCUUAGUAACUGCGAGUGAAGCGGCAAGAGCUCAAAUUUGAAAUCUGGCGCCUUUGGCGUCCGAGUUGUAAUUUGGAGAGGCAUCUUCGGGUGCGGCGCCGGCCUAAGUUCCUUGGAACAGGACGUCAUAGAGGGUGAGAAUCCCGUUCUCGGCUGGCUGUCCGCGUCCAUGUGAAGUGUCUUCGACGAGUCGAGUUGUUUGGGAAUGCAGCUCAAAAUGGGUGGUAAACUCCAUCUAAAGCUAAAUACUGGCGAGAGACCGAUAGCGCACAAGUAGAGUGAUCGAAAGAUGAAAAGCACUUUGAAAAGAGAGUUAAAAAGUACGUGAAAUUGUUGAAAGGGAAGCGCUUGAGACCAGACUCGGCGGGAGGUAUUCAUCGUCCCUUCUGGGGCGUGCACUUGCCUCUCGUCGGGCCAGCAUCGGUUGCGGCGGCGGGAUAAAGACCCGGGGAACGUGGCUGCUCUCGGGCAGUGUUAUAGCCCCGGGUGUCAUGCCGCCUGCUGCGACCGAGGACC